AUGGCUCAGGAUGAACGCUAGCUACAGGCUUAACACAUGCAAGUCGAAGGGCAGCAUUGGAGUAGCAAUACUCAGAUGGCGACCGGCGCACGGGUGAGUAACACGUAUCCAACCUGCCGCUUACUCGGGGAUAGCCUUUCGAAAGAAAGAUUAAUACCCGAUGGUAUAAAGAGUUCGCAUGUUCUCUUUAUUAAAGAAUUUCGGUAAGCGAUGGGGAUGCGUUCCAUUAGAUAGUUGGCGGGGUAACGGCCCACCAAGUCUACGAUGGAUAGGGGUUCUGAGAGGAAGGUCCCCCACAUUGGAACUGAGACACGGUCCAAACUCCUACGGGAGGCAGCAGUGAGGAAUAUUGGUCAAUGGACGAGAGUCUGAACCAGCCAAAAGUAGCGUGAAGGAUGACUGCCCUAUGGGUUGUAAACUUCUUUUAUAAGGGAAUAAAGUGAGGGACGUGUCCCUUUUUGUAUGUACCUUAUGAAUAAGGAUCGGCUAACUCCGUGCCAGCCGCCGC
rnacentral:rRNA from 1 species